rnacentral:rRNA from 1 species
AAAUUGAAGAGUUUGAUCAUGGCUCAGAUUGAACGCUGGCGGCAGGCCUAACACAUGCAAGUCGAGCGGUAGCACAGAGAGCUUGCUCUCGGGUGACGAGCGGCGGACGGGUGAGUAAUGUCUGGGAAACUGCCUGAUGGAGGGGGAUAACUACUGGAAACGGUAGCUAAUACCGCAUAACGUCGCAAGACCAAAGUGGGGGACCUUCGGGCCUCAUGCCAUCAGAUGUGCCCAGAUGGGAUUAGCUAGUAGGUGGGGUAAUGGCUCACCUAGGCGACGAUCCCUAGCUGGUCUGAGAGGAUGACCAGCCACACUGGAACUGAGACACGGUCCAGACUCCUACGGGAGGCAGCAGUGGGGAAUAUUGCACAAUGGGCGCAAGCCUGAUGCAGCCAUGCCGCGUGUGUGAAGAAGGCCUUCGGGUUGUAAAGCACUUUCAGCGGGGAGGAAGGCGUUAAGGUUAAUAACCUUGGCGAUUGACGUUACCCGCAGAAGAAGCACCGGCUAACUCCGUGCCAGCAGCCGCGGUAAUACGGAGGGUGCAAGCGUUAAUCGGAAUUACUGGGCGUAAAGCGCACGCAGGCGGUCUGUCAAGUCGGAUGUGAAAUCCCCGGGCUCAACCUGGGAACUGCAUUCGAAACUGGCAGGCUAGAGUCUUGUAGAGGGGGGUAGAAUUCCAGGUGUAGCGGUGAAAUGCGUAGAGAUCUGGAGGAAUACCGGUGGCGAAGGCGGCCCCCUGGACAAAGACUGACGCUCAGGUGCGAAAGCGUGGGGAGCAAACAGGAUUAGAUACCUGGUAGUCCACGCCGUAAACGAUGUCGAUUUGGAGGUUGUGCCCUUGAGGCGUGGCUUCCGGAGCUAACGCGUUAAAUCGACCGCCUGGGGAGUACGGCCGCAAGGUUAAAACUCAAAUGAAUUGACGGGGGCCCGCACAAGCGGUGGAGCAUGUGGUUUAAUUCGAUGCAACGCGAAGAACCUUACCUGGUCUUGACAUCCACAGAACUUUCCAGAGAUGGAUUGGUGCCUUCGGGAACUGUGAGACAGGUGCUGCAUGGCUGUCGUCAGCUCGUGUUGUGAAAUGUUGGGUUAAGUCCCGCAACGAGCGCAACCCUUAUCCUUUGUUGCCAGCGGUUAGGCCGGGAACUCAAAGGAGACUGCCAGUGAUAAACUGGAGGAAGGUGGGGAUGACGUCAAGUCAUCAUGGCCCUUACGACCAGGGCUACACACGUGCUACAAUGGCAUAUACAAAGAGAAGCGACCUCGCGAGAGCAAGCGGACCUCAUAAAGUAUGUCGUAGUCCGGAUUGGAGUCUGCAACUCGACUCCAUGAAGUCGGAAUCGCUAGUAAUCGUAGAUCAGAAUGCUACGGUGAAUACGUUCCCGGGCCUUGUACACACCGCCCGUCACACCAUGGGAGUGGGUUGCAAAAGAAGUAGGUAGCUUAACCUUCGGGAGGGCGCUUACCACUUUGUGAUUCAUGACUGGGGUGAAGUCGUAACAAGGUAACCGUAGGGGAACCUGCGGUUGGAUCACCUCCUUACCUUAAAGAA